CACGUAGGGGCCAAGCGUUGUCCGGAUUUAUUGGGCGUAAAGAGCUCGUAGGCGGUUCGACAAGUCGGGUGUGAAAACUCCGGGCUCAACCCGGAGACGCCACCCGAUACUGUCGUGACUGGAGUCCGGUAGGGGAGUGGGGAAUUCCUGGUGUAGCGGUGAAAUGCGCAGAUAUCAGGAGGAACACCGGUGGCGAAGGCGCCACUCUGGGCCGGUACUGACGCUGAGGAGCGAAAGCGUGGGUAGCGAACAGG
rnacentral:rRNA from 1 species